rnacentral:rRNA from 2 species
GAAACAGUUGCUAAGACUGGAUAGGAAAUUAAAAGGCAUCUUUUAAUUUUUAAAAGACCUUUUUCGGAAGGUAUGCUUAAAGAGGGGCUUGCGCCACAUUAGUUAGUUGGUAAGGUAAAGGCUUACCAAGACGAUGAUGUGUAGCUGGACUGAGAGGUUGAACAGCCACAUUGGGACUGAGACACGGCCCAAACUCCUACGGGAGGCAGCAGUAAGGAAUUUUUGGCAAUGGAGGAAACUCUGACCGAGCGACGCCGCGUGAACAAUGAAGUACUUCGGUAUGUAAAGUUCUUUUAUUGAAAAAGAAAAAAUAGUGGAAAAACUAUCUUGACAUUAUUCAAUGAAUAAGCCCCGGCUAAUUAUGUGCCAGCAGCCGCGGUAAUACAUAAGGGGCGAGCGUUAUCCGGAAUUAUUGGGCGUAAAGGGUGCGUAGGCGGUUUGAUAAGUCUAUAGUUUAAUUGCAGUGCUUAACGCUGUACCGCUAUAGAAACUGUCUGACUAGAGUUAGAUAGAGGCAAGCGGAAUUCCAUGUGUAGCGGUAAAAUGCGUAAAUAUAUGGAGGAACACCAGAGGCGUAGGCGGCUUGCUGGGUCUUAACUGACGCUGAGGCACGAAAGCGUGGGGAGCAAACAGGAUUAGAUACCCUGGUAGUCCACGCCGUAAACGAUGAGUACUAAGUGUCGGGUUUUGGCUCGGUACUGAAGUUAACACAUUAAGUACUCCGCCUGAGUAGUACGUACGCAAGUAUGAAACUUAAAGGAAUUGACGGGACCCCGCACCAGCGGUGGAUCAUGUUGUUUAAUUUGAAGAUACACGAAAAACCUUACCAGGUCUUGACAUAAUUUUGCGACAUUAUAGAAAUAUAAUGAAGGUUAUCAGAAUUACAGGUGGUGCAUGGUUGUCGUCAGCUCGUGUCGUGAGAUGUUAGGUUAAGUCCUAAAACGAGCGCAACCCUUGUCGUUAGUUGCGACCACAUAAUGGUGAGCACUUUAGCGAGACUGCCAAUGAAAAAUUGGAGGAAGGUGAGGAUUACGUCAAAUCAUCAUGCCCCUUAUGAUCUGGGCUACAAACGUGAUACAAUGGCUUUUACAAAGAGUAGCUACAACGUGAGUUUUUAGCCAAUCUCAAAAAAACAGUCUCAGUUCGGAUUGAAGUCUGCAACUCGACUUCAUGAAGUUGGAAUCGCUAGUAAUCGCGAAUCAGCAUGUCGCGGUGAAUACGUUCUCGGGGUUUGUACACACCGCCCGUCA